UACAGAGGGUGCGAGCGUUAAUCGGAAUUACUGGGCGUAAAGCGUACGCAGACGGUGAGAAAGGUCGGAUGUGAAAGCCCCGGGCUCAACCCGGGAACUGCAUCCGAAACCAUCUCGCUAGAGUAUGGGAGAGGGAAGCGGAAUUCCUGGUGUAGAGGUGAAAUUCGUAGAUAUCAGGAGGAACAUCUGCGGCGAAGGCGGCUUCCUGGCCCAUUACUGACGUUCAGGUACGAAAGCGUGGGUAGCAAACAGG
rnacentral:rRNA from 1 species